UGGUGGCGAUAGCGAAGAGGUCACACCCGUUCCCAUGCCGAACACGGAAGUUAAGCUCUUCAGCGCCGAUGGUAGUUGGGGGCUUCCCCCUGUGAGAGUAGGACGCCGCCA
rnacentral:rRNA from 3 species